rnacentral:rRNA from 1 species
UACGUAGGGUGCGAGCGUUAAUCGGAAUUACUGGGCGUAAAGCGUGCGCAGGCGGUUCGUGAUGUCUGGUGUGAAAGCCCCGGGCUUAACCUGGGAAUUGCAUUGGAAACUAGCGGGCUGGAGUGUGGCAGAGGGGGGUGGAAUUCCACGUGUAGCAGUGAAAUGCGUAGAGAUGUGGAGGAACACCGAUGGCGAAGGCAGCCCCCCGGGCUAACACUGACGCUCAUGCACGAAAGCGUGGGGAGCAAACAGG